rnacentral:RNase_P_RNA from 1 species
GCAGCAGGUCGGUUUGUCGCUCUCCUACACGGGAGGGAGGAAAGUCCGGGCAACGCAGAGCACCAUACUUCCUAACGGGAAGCAGUUCGCGAGGGCAGGCUAGCGUAACAGAAAAUAACCGCCACGGCUUAGCCGGGGUAAGGGUGAAAAGGUGAGGUAAGGGCUCACCGGGUGCCACGGUGACGUGGCACGCCGUACGCGCUAUGGGUUGCAAGGCCAUGUAUAUCGGAUAGGUAGGGUUGCUCGCCCGAUGCCGAGGGGUAGGCCGCUACAGGGGGAUGGCGACAUCGCCCCGCAGAUAAAUGACAAACACCCGGUUCACCGGGAUACAGAACCCGGCUUAUAGACCGGCUGCUUUU